rnacentral:rRNA from 1 species
GAAGGGAGAACUACUCCUACGGGAGGCAGCAGUGGGGAAUAUUGCACAAUGGGCGAAAGCCUGAUGCAGCGACGCCGCGUGAGGGAUGACGGCCUUCGGGUUGUAAACCUCUUUCAGUAGGGAAGAAGCCCUCUUUGGGGGUGACGGUACUUGCAGAAGAAGCGCCGGCUAACUACGUGCCAGCAGCCGCGGUAAUACGUAGGGCGCAAGCGUUAUCCGGAAUUAUUGGGCGUAAAGAGCUCGUAGGCGGUUUGUCGCGUCUGCUGUGAAAGACCGGGGCUCAACUCCGGUUCUGCAGUGGGUACGGGCAGACUAGAGUGCAGUAGGGGAGACUGGAAUUCCUGGUGUAGCGGUGAAAUGCGCAGAUAUCAGGAGGAACACCGAUGGCGAAGGCAGGUCUCUGGGCUGUAACUGACGCUGAGGAGCGAAAGCAUGGGGAGCGAACAGGAUUAGAUACCCUGGUAGUCCAUGCCGUAAACGUUGGGCACUAGGUGUGGGGGACAUUCCACGUUUUCCGCGCCGUAGCUAACGCAUUAAGUGCCCCGCCUGGGGAGUACGGCCGCAAGGCUAAAACUCAAAGGAAUUGACGGGGGCCCGCACAAGCGGCGGAGCAUGCGGAUUGAUUCGAUGCAACGCGAAGAACCUUACCAAGGCUUGACAUGGACCGGAAAGACCUGAAACCAGGUGCCCC